UACGUAGGGUGCAAGCGUUGUCCGGAAUUAUUGGGCGUAAAGAGCUCGUAGGCGGUUUGUCGCGUCUGCUGUGAAAACUCGGGGCUUAACUCCGGGCCUGCAGUGGGUACGGGCAGACUAGAGUGCGGUAGGGGAGACUGGAAUUCCUGGUGUAGCGGUGAAAUGCGCAGAUAUCGGGAGGAACACCAAUGGCGAAGGCAGCUCGCUGGGACGGUACUGACGCUGAGGCGCGAAAGCGUGGGGAGCAACAGG
rnacentral:rRNA from 1 species